GGUAUCCAAACACACAAGAUACCCGCCAGAAAAUUACGAGCGAAAAGCUUAAAACUCAAAGGACUUGGCGGUGCUCCAUACCGGAUUAGAGGAGCCUGUCCUAUAAUCGAUACUCCACGAUAAACCUUACCAUUCAUUGCCAAAUCAGCCUAUAUACCGCCGUCGCCAACUUACCCCAUGAGGACACAACAGUAAGUAUAAUAGUUCUUAAACUAAAACGUCAGGUCAAGGUGUAGCUUAUAGAAUGGAAGAGAUGGGCUACAUUAUUUAUAAUAAAAUAUAACGGCAUGGAACUAUGAAAUUAGUACCUAAAGGAGGAUUUAAUAGUAAAAUUAACGAGAAAAUUAAUUU
rnacentral:rRNA from 1 species